UACGUAGGGUCCGAGCGUUGUCCGGAAUCAUUGGGCGUAAAGAGCUCGUAGGUGGUUCGGUAAGUCAGGUGUGAAACCUCCAGGCUCAACCUGGAGACGCCACUUGAUACUGCUGUGACUGGAGUCCGGUAGGGGAGCGUGGAAUUCCUGGUGUAGCGGUGAAAUGCGCAGAUAUCAGGAGGAACACCAGCGGCGAAGGCGGCGCUCUGGGCCGGUACUGACACUGAGGAGCGAAAGCGUGGGUAGCAAACAGG
rnacentral:rRNA from 1 species